rnacentral:tRNA from 2 species
GCGGGUGUAGCUCAGUUGGUUAGAGCGCCGGCCUGUCACGCCGGAGG